rnacentral:rRNA from 1 species
GCCAGACUCCUACGGGAGGCAGCAGUGGGGGAUAUUGCACAAUGGGGGGAACCCUGAUGCAGCGACGCCGCGUGGGUGAAGGAGCGUUUCGGCGCGUAAAGCCCUCUCGGCAGGGAAGAAGGAGGACGGUACCUGACUAAGAAGCCCCGGCUAACUACGUGCCAGCAGCCGCGGUAAUACGUAGGGGGCAAGCGUUAUCCGGAUUUACUGGGUGUAAAGGGGGCGCAGACGGCAGCGCAAGCCAGGAGUGAAAGCCCGGGGCCCAACCCCGGGACUGCUCUUGGAACUGCGCGGCUGGAGUGCAGGAGGGGCAGGCGGAAUUCCUGGUGUAGCGGUGAAAUGCGUAGAUAUCAGGAGAAACACCGGUGGCGAAGGCGGCCUGCUGGACUGCGACUGACGUUGAGGCCCGAAAGCGUGGGGAGCAAACAGGAUUAGAUACCCUAGUA